GAUGAACGCUGGCGGCGUGCCUAAUACAUGCAAGUCGAGCGAACAGACGAGGAGCUUGCUCCUCUGACGUUAGCGGCGGACGGGUGAGUAACACGUGGAUAACCUACCUAUAAGACUGGGAUAACUUCGGGAAACCGGAGCUAAUACCGGAUAAUAUAUUGAACCGCAUGGUCCAAUAGUGAAAGACGGUUUUGCUGUCACUUAUAGAUGGAUCCGCGCCGCAUUAGCUAGUUGGUAAGGUAACGGCUUACCAAGGCAACGAUGCGUAGCCGACCUGAGAGGGUGAUCGGCCACACUGGAACUGAGACACGGUCCAGACUCCUACGGGAGGCAGCAGUAGGGAAUCUUACGCAAUGGGCGAAAGCUUGACGGAGCAACGCCGCGUGAGUGAUGAAGGUCUUCGGAUCGUAAAACUCUGUUAUUAGGGAAGAACAAAUGUGUAAGUAACUAUGCACGUCUUGACGGUACCUAAUCAGAAAGCCACGGCUAACUACGUG
rnacentral:rRNA from 1 species